UCAUCCGGUGGCGACUGAAUAAUUUUGAAACCUUCACCUACUUAGAAUUCACUGUGGCAUUUUCUCUAAGGAAGAGUGAGUGGGAGUUUUUAAUGUGCUUCAGCUCAUAAGGUGGAGUUGCUGUGAUGUAAAUACAGAAAUGGGAAUCCGGGUCAGGGUCACGGAAGGGCAGGGACGGGCUUUGUCAUGCUAACCCUGGCCAGGACACGGAAGGUCCAAGGAGAGCAAGGCCAGGGGAGCCCCACAGGUGAGACUCGCAGGAGAACCAGGAGUCAGGCCAGUCAGGAGAGAAGACCUGGAGGACCAGGACGGCUGCCCGCGGGCCCUUAGUAAUCUGAUUUCCUCUCUACCCGUUCUAGGCUUUCUGGUCGGGGGCGGGGGAGAUCGUCUUGGCAGGCGGUACUGGCCGACACUAACGGGGGCUUGCUACGUACCGGGCUCCCUUCUGAGGGCAGUGGUGCACGUGCCACCGAGUCCCCGUGCGGCUCAGCAGCCCCACGACACAGGACUGCUCGUACCCCAUUGUACAGACAGCAGACCUGACGCUUGGGAAGGUCAAGUCACUUGCUCAGUCGUGUGACUGAUGAAUUUGUCUGAAGUCAGCUCUUACUCUUUCAGUCUUUCUCUGGGCACAACGACCAGUGUCAUGAUAGUCGCCUUACUGAUGGAGGGGUGGUGAAGAAAGCCAUUCAGAAAAGCACACAUGGGGGCACCCGCGUGGCUCAGUGGGUGGAGCGUCUGCCUUGGGCUCAGGUCGUGAUCUCAGGGUCCUGGGAUCCAGCCCCACAUCGGGCUCCCUGCUCAGCGAGGAGUCUGCUUCUCCCCCCUCACGAUCCCUCCGUGUUUUCCCGCCCCCUUCUCUCUCAAAUAAAUAAAUAAAAAUCUUUCGGGGAAAAAAAAAAAAAAAAGAAAUGCACAGGUCAUCUCAGCUUCCUAAAAGGCAUGGUGGAGAUUUUGAUUAUGACGUCAUCAGUCCAGCCAGUCGGGUCAAAAUUAUUCAUCUGUUGUUGGAAUGUGAACAGAACCUCAAUGCGCUCUUGAAUUCCAGCUCUUUGGAAUGCCAUACACCUUUGCUAAGCUUCAUAAUGAGCCCGAGGUAGCUCCAACAGGGGUCGUUCAUCUGGGGAGAGGUGGGAGCCGACGUCGUUAACGGGCGAAGAGAACCUGGAGUGUCUGUGCUCAAGUGAGACCUUCCUAAUUGCUCACACACACUUACAGCACGGGUGUGCUUUCCAUCGGGCUACUUCUUGGAGGCAGCCUUGAAAUCCAGAGAUCGGGGCGCCGCGUGGUGCAGUCCGGUAGGACGUAUCUUCUACACAUGGACACUGUUUCCUUUUGGCGCCAAGGAUAAAAUGAGAGGACCAAGAUCAGGUCAGGCUUCUUGGUGGCUUUACCUAUUAAACACGAACGAUGAGUAGAAGAUAUGGACAGGAGGGAAUUUUAUCUGCACCUGCAAGAGGAGCAGAAAGCAGAACAGGUCAGGGCUGCUCAGAGAAAUUGUCUGAAACCUCCUGGAACGUGAGAACCGACGACAACGCCGAGUCUGACUUGCCCACCAGCAAAACUGCGGAAGCACAGAGAGAGAGAGAUCUGAAAAAGAAAGAGCCCCCUCAACCUCGGUGGAAAACGUGAUCCACCUUCACCCCUGUUCGACCUCAGUGAUGCUUAAUUAAUAGUUGGGGCCACGCUGCUGUAAUUAGGGCAGCGAGCGUUUGGUUGGCCACUGGGAGGAAGGUUGUAAGUAUGGGGCAGGGAUGGCGUAAGACCAAGUAGAUUGGCAGCUCGUACCAGGUGUCCCCUGCUGCUCGCCGAUGUUUCCCUGCGCCGAGAGCUGUGCUGAACUGGUGUGUGUCCAACGAAGGGACGACGGUCAGGGAGUGUGGGGGGAGGAGGUCCAGUGUGCUCGUGGGAAGCGAACGGCGCCGUAGGCCCACAAACGCUCUUAACACGACCAGAGAGAAGAGCCAGGUUGGGGGAAGGAGGGGCCAGAGGCAGAGGCCAAGAAGAAGGAGGAGGCGCGGGGAUGUGAACGGCCCCCAGACCUGUAUCUCCUUCACCCUCUGCCCCAACCUGUUCCCGUGUGACCUCGGUGAGAGAAUCCGCCGUCAUAUUCUCCUGUAAUGACAGGAGCUCGCGGUGUCUCCCGACCGUAACACAGCAGCGCGUGAACGCUUCCCCCUGGGAGCUGGGGAGGCCCUCAGCAGAUCUGUGCCCAAAGCACAGAAGUUCGGUCUUUCUGGUCUCUCGUCUCAACAAGUGCUAAGGAUGAACAUUCAUUCAUUCAACAAAUAUUGAGAGAGCCCCCGCGUGUGACCGGAUCCGUCCUCAGCCGGUUAACGUGUUCUUUAGGUUGAAUUGUUCAGGAGUCUGAGGAUUAAUAUGCAAAGAGCAACUGAGAAACCACAGAGUGUUUAGAAUCCCUUUUCCUUCACUAUUGCAGAGUGUCUCGAGAGCGUGGUUGAGGAACGACGUGUUGAACCCCAUCCCACCCCCCGGCCCUUCCUCCUUUCUCUUCCGCCCGCCCUCUGACCUCGAGCCUCCUCUAAGGUCAUCCGUGACUGUCCAAACCUGCGGACGCGGUGCGGGUCUGUCUUUUUUCAACUGAGGUUGCGGCAUUUGGUAUUAAUGAUCGUUCCCUCUCGGCCAGAACGUCUGCCUUGCGGGGUUUUCCUAGCCACGGUGUCGUGUGUCCUGAAUAUUUAUAAAGUGAGCGUGGAACCAAGGGGAUGCGGGCACAGAUCUCCCCUUUGUCAUCUUGUGACCCUGAACAAAUUAUUUAAACCCAAGGUGGUUUCUGCAUCUGCAAAAGGAGGUGCUUACAGCCGCCUUCAACACGCUCCUUACGUUGUGAGGAUUCCAUGAAGGUAAAGCAAGCAGGGCGCCUGGGGCGUGCCCGACAUACGAGUUCUGUUUGGGUUUCCCUUGACUCCCUGUGCCCCGCUACUGGUGUUAGGUCCUCCCCAUCUCCUCCCUGAGUCAUUGCAGGGCCUCCUCACAGUCCCCCUGCCUUCAGGGGCUCAUGGCUGCAUUCCAUUCCUCACCUGCAGACUUUCUCAAAUGCAAAGCUGAUCCUAUCACAUCCCACGUAAUAGGAACCCAGGUGACCUGAAGGAUAAGCAAAGUCCACACUCCUAAGGGUGGCGUGAGCCAGGCUCAUGUCUGCAGCUUCAGUAACAGCCACAGGCGUCUCCCACCCCUCUCACCUGGGCCGCAUUGGACUACCUUUCGGUUCCCAGAGCGUGCCGUGCCGUGUGCACACCUUCCUACCUUUGUACAGGACCCUUGCUCUACUUUGAAAGCCUUCGCCACCUUUCCUGGCUGGAUUAGUUCAGUGUGUUCUUCAAGAUCCAGUUCGCCAUUACGUCUUUUUAAAUUCUUAAAGCAGACAUUGUUGACUCUCCCUCUACAGCGCUUCAGUAUUAUCUAACGCAUACAUCAUGUUUUCACCAUUUAUCUUGCUUACCUGUCUUCCCAAUCAGGUGUGUGCUCCAUGAAGGACUCUCGCUGUGUCCUGUUCUUUUCAUAGGGCCUGGCACCUAGUAUGCUUAAUACAUGUUUGUUGACCUGAUUACAUAAACGAUGAGUUUAUGCGCCAGGACACCUGUACCCCGAUGUUUCUAGCAGCAAUGUCCACAAUAGCCAAACUGUGGAUGGAGCCUCGGUGUCCAUCAAAAGAUGAAUGGAUAAAGAAGAUGUGGUCUAUGUAU